AAUUUUUUGUCAUUAAUAAUUUAAUUUUAAUUAUUUUUCCACUUUUCUUUGCCACCAAACAAACGCCGAUUCCAUCUCUUUAAGUACGCGUUUCGCUGGUUCAAUGCCGUAAUAAAAACUACGCGUGAAAACCAAAUCACGGUUAUAUUGUUGACGUUGAAGCUUAUCAAGAACAUCACCAUUCAGACUCAUCUCAAUUGUUAUUUUAUGAAAAAGGGGAUUCUGUUUA